rnacentral:ncRNA from 13 species
CCUCUGGUAGCUCAGUUGGUAGAGCGGUGGACUGUAGUGGGUCGUUCGAAGGCAGUAAUCCAUAGGUCGCUGGUUCAAAUCCGGCCCGGAGGA